AUUGAACGCUGGCGGCAGGCUUAACACAUGCAAGUCGAGCGGGGUGAUGGUGCUUGCACUAUCACUUAGCGGCGGACGGGUGAGUAAUGCUUAGGAAUCUGCCUAUUAGUGGGGGACAACAUCUCGAAAGGGAUGCUAAUACCGCAUACGUCCUACGGGAGAAAGCAGGGGAUCACUUGUGACCUUGCGCUAAUAGAUGAGCCUAAGUCGGAUUAGCUAGUUGGUGGGGUAAAGGCCUACCAAGGCGACGAUCUGUAACGGGUCGGAGAGGAUGAUCCGCCACACUGGGACUGAGACCCGGCCCAGACUCCUACGGGAGGCAGCAGUGGGGAAUAUUGGACAAUGGGGGGAACCCUGAUCCAGCCAUGCCGCGUGUGUGAAGAAGGCCUUAUGGUUGUAAAGCACUUUAAGCGAGGAGGAGGCUCUUUUGGUUAAUACCCAAGAUGAGUGGACGUUACUCGCAGAAUAAGCACCGGCUAACUCUGUGCCAGCCGCCGCCGUAA
rnacentral:rRNA from 1 species